rnacentral:rRNA from 1 species
GACGAACGCUGGCGGCGUGCUUAACACAUGCAAGUCGAACGGAAAGGCCCUGCUUUUGUGGGGUGCUCGAGUGGCGAACGGGUGAGUAACACGUGAGUAACCUGUCCUUGACUUUGGGAUAACUUCAGGAAACUGGGGCUAAUACCGGAUAGGAGCUACUGCUGCAUGGUGGGGGUUGGAAAGUUUCGGCGGUUGGGGAUGGACUCGCGGCUUAUCAGCUUGUUGGUGGGGUAGUGGCUUACCAAGGCUUUGACGGGUAGCCGGCCUGAGAGGGUGACCGGCCACAUUGGGACUGAGAUACGGCCCAGCCUGCUACGGGACGCAACAGUGGGAAGUAUUGCACAGUGGGCGGGAGCCUGAUGCGGCAACGCCGCGUGCGGGAAAACGGCCUUCGGGUUGUAAACCGCUUUCGCCUGUCACGAGGCGUUAGUGACGGUAAUGGGUAAAGAAGCACCGGCUAACUACGUG